CGCCUGGGGAGUACGGCCGCAAGGUUAAAACUCAAAUGAAUUGACGGGGGCCCGCACAAGCGGUGGAGCAUGUGGUUUAAUUCGAUGCAACGCGAAGAACCUUACCUGGUCUUGACAUCCACGGAAGUUUUCAGAGAUGAGAAUGUGCCUUCGGGAACCGUGAGACAGGUGCUGCAUGGCUGUCGUCAGCUCGUGUUGUGAAAUGUUGGGUUAAGUCCCGCAACGAGCGCAACCCUUAUCCUUUGUUGCCAGCGGUCCGGCCGGGAACUCAAAGGAGACUGCCAGU
rnacentral:rRNA from 1 species